rnacentral:piRNA from 1 species
GGGCAUGAACUCCUCCCACUACUCC